CGGUGGUGUGCAACGCUCCAGCGUGGUGCUGCCGGACAGGAACCGGGACGAGAACCAUUGUGGGUCCCAGAAAGACUGACGCGUGCGACAAGCCCUUCGACUGAAGACUAAUCCUGUCCUGCCGGAGACCAGCAGCAGGCCUGACAGCCAGAUGAACCCGAAAAAGGCUGCUUUUUUCGUUGGGGGCGUUGUCCUAGCACUCCUCAGGAUAAGUAUGGUACAUGCGGGGCUGGGGGGCCCCGCUUCUGGAAUAGAUCUUCGCACGAGCCUUCUUGGCAGUCCGUGCGAUUGCGGAGGUGGCACGGUAAGCAGUAUACCACCUAGCGCCAAAAAAGGACCAGGGACCGAUUGUGGGGAUAAAACAGCUUACUCAGUUGUGUACAGCUCCACUGCAGGAGGAUUUAGUCAACCAUCCUAUCAGUGCAUACUUAAGCCUAAGGUGAGUCCCUCAGGGCCUGGUGAUCUCGCCACAUGUCCCUGCACUAAGUUUGAGGAAUCCAUGCAUGUUACAUGCUAUACAGAGACAAAACAAUGCAAACUCAAGAGUACAACCUAUUGGAUGGCAACGCUAACUACAACUAAAAGCCCUGUUGCCCCUAACCAUAUUCCCGCUGCUGUAGGCGGUUCCCCAUUCAUGCAGUCAGGUUGUAAUGGAGAGGUUGGAGAAACGGUCUGUUGGUCUAUGACCGCUCCCGUUCACAUCUCUGACGGUGGAGGGGUCCAAGACCAGUACCGGCAGGAGCAGGUCAUCGAGCGAUGGGAACAAUUAAAUCCGUUCCCUGAAGUCAAUUACCAUCCACUCCUAUGCCCAAAAUCCCGAGGCAUUAACCUUGACCCCGCUACUGAAUCCAUAUUAGAGGCUACCCACAAAGCACUCAAUCUUACUGACCCAGGGCUGGCCUCCGAUUGUUGGCUGUGUAUGAUGAUGGGAGAAUCAUGGCCGUUGGCCAUGCCGUUUAGAGACAAUGAAAGUGAACCUUACAAUUACAACGCACCCUAUAAUUGCUCACAUGGGCCUCCAUUUCGGGUCCAGUUUAUGGGACAGUUUAAUGCAUCCUGUUUCCAAAAGUACCCACAAAAUAAUAGUUAUGAUAUUGUUGUUGGAGCGCUGGCAGUCGCCUCGUGUGAGUCCAUAACCAAUGUAAGUAGUAGCUCGCCGCUAUGUGCCCCCUUUGGCAAAGUAUUUGCUUGCGGCAAUGGUCAUGCUUAUACUUACCUGCCCAGUAAUUGGACCGGCCUAUGUGGCCUAGCUUACUUGUUGCCUGACAUUGGUAUUGUCCCUGGGGACCAACCCAUGCCCAUCCCAGCUGUGGACACCUUUAUAAAAAGACAUAAGAGAGAUGUACUGAUUUUACCUCUCUUGGCUGGUCUGGGGAUAACUGGAGCCCUGGCCGCCGGGACUGCGGGCCUAGGAGUUUCAUUAACCAAA